GAGUUUGAUCGUGGCUCAGGACGAACGCUGGCGGCGCGCUUAACACAUGCAAGUCGAGCGAGAACCAGGCCUUCGGGCCUGGGAAAGCGGCGAACGGGUGAGUAACACGUGGGUAACCCACCCUUGGUACCGGGAUAGCCCGAGGAAACUCGGAUUAAUACCGGAUGGCCCAACAGCUUCUCGGAGCGGUUGGAAAAGGUAGCUUCGGCCUCCGACCAAGGACGGGCCCGCGGUGGAUUAGCUUGUUGGUGAGGUAACGGCUCACCAAGGCUUCGAUCCAUAGCUGGUCUGAGAGGACGAUCAGCCACACUGAGACUGAGACACGGCCCAGACUCCUACGGGAGGCAGCAGUGGGGAAUCUUGCGCAAUGGGCGAAAGCCUGACGCAGCGACGCCGCGUGGGGGAAGAAGGCUUUCGGGUUGUAAACCCCCUUUCAGGAAGGACGAAGCCACUCGGGUUAAUAGCCCAGAGGGUGACGGUACUUCCAGAAGAAGCCCCGGCUAACUACGUGACAGCCGCCGCCGUAAC
rnacentral:rRNA from 1 species